rnacentral:rRNA from 1 species
AUUGAACGCUGACGGCAGGCCUAACACAUGCAAGUCGAACGGUGACAGGAAGAAGCUUGCUUCUUUGCUGACGAGUGGCGGACGGGUGAGUAAUGUCUGGGAAACUGCCUGAUGGAGGGGGAUAACUACUGGAAACGGUAGCUAAUACCGCAUAACGUCGCAAGACCAAAGAGGGGGACCUUCGGGCCUCUUGCCAUCGGAUGUGCCCAGAUGGGAUUAGCUAGUAGGUGGGGUAACGGCUCACCUAGUCGACGAUCCCUAGCUGGUCUGAGAGGAUGACCAGCCACACUGGAACUGAGACACGGUCCAGACUCCUACGGGAGGCAGCAGUGGGGAAUAUUGCACAAUGGGCGCAAGCCUGAUGCAGCCAUGCCGCGUGUAUGAAGAAGGCCUUCGGGUUGUAAAGUACUUUCAGCGGGGAGGAAGGGAGUAAAGUUAAUACCUUUGCUCAUUGACGUUACCCGCAGAAGAAGCACCGGCUAACUCCGUG